UAAGCCAGACAUUCCUGAGAUAACAAUC
rnacentral:sRNA from 1 species